CCAUCAAGUAGCUGGUUCCCUCCGAAGUUUCCCUCAGGAUAGCUGGAACUUAUGAGAAAGUAGUUUUUAUCAGGUAAAGCGAAUGAUUAGAGGCUUUUGGGGAAGAAACUUCCUCGACCUAUUCUCAAACUUUAAAUAGGUAAGAUUUGGAGGAUACUUAAGUGAUCUUUCAAUACAGUAUUGAAUAUAAAGUUCUUAGUGGGCCAUUUUUGGUAAGCAGAACUGGCGAUGUGGGAUGAACCGAACGUUAAGUUAAAGUGCCAAAUAAUACGCUCAUGAGAUACCAUAAAAGGUGUUGGUUCAUUUUGACAGCAGGACGGUGGCCAUGGAAGUCGGAACCCGCUAAGGAGUGUGUAACAACUCACCUGCCGAAUGAACUAGCCCUGAAAAUGGAUGGCGCUUAAGCGUAUAACUUAUACUUAACCCUUACUUGAAUUAUCAUAGCGAGUAAGGAGUAGGAGGGCU
rnacentral:rRNA from 1 species